rnacentral:rRNA from 1 species
UACGUAGGUCCCGAGCGUUGUCCGGAUUUAUUGGGCGUAAAGCGAGCGCAGGCGGUUAGAUAAGUCUGAAGUUAAAGGCUGUGGCUUAACCAUAGUACGCUUUGGAAACUGUUUAACUUGAGUGCAAGAGGGGAGAGUGGAAUUCCAUGUGUAGCGGUGAAAUGCGUAGAUAUAUGGAGGAACACCGGUGGCGAAAGCGGCUCUCUGGCUUGUNAACUGACGCUGAGGCUCGAAAGCGUGGGGAGCAAACAGGAUUAGAUACC